CGCGCGCUCCCGCGGAGGGGAGCGGGGCUGGGUGUGUGCAGGGGGGAGGAGGACAGAGGGCUGCCCUAAUGGCCUGUACCCGUAAUCAGAUCAUGGCUUUAGGGGAGGAGCGGUCAGCAGCCACAAAUGCGGCGGCAUUAAAAGAUAGACUGGAAACGAGGCCUGGAGUGAGGUCACCGCUUCACACGGCGCCGCGAUCGCAGAAGAGACUGCGGGGCUGAGGGGAGGGGACGGCAGGGCAGGAAGGCGGGCGCGGUCCUCUGCCGCCUCAGCCCCCCGCUGCCUCAGCCCCAUCUCUCAGUCCGCUUUUUUUUCCUUAAGCGACAUUAAUUUAACUUCAUCCACUGUCCUCCCCCGCGGCGUGGCUGAAAGGCUGAAGUGCCCUCCUUAGUGUUUAAAUGUAUUCCCCUCCCGAUGCUUUGCUGCUUCUGCGUAACUGAUAAGUUGGGAUGUUUUUUACACGCAAGAGAUUUGUUUUUAAAACCCAAACGCCUAUUUUAAAUGUAUUUAUCCAUCGUUUUUGCUUUUUGCUCAAGUACUGUCACCUUCCUGGUUGCCUCAGGCGCUAUUCUUGUUCUUGCUUAAGAAUAUCUCUUGUAGACAUUGAUGAGAUUUUACCUGCACGUAGAUACAGUUCUGUGUGCCAAUUAAUUUUUUGUCAUCUCAAAGAGAGAGAACAAUUCUAUGCUGUCUUCACUACCUGAUGUGGUGCACAAAGCUCCUUUAUGGUAGCCCACCAGUGCUUCCAUUUCUGCCGUCAGUUCUGUGGUCUGAUACCAUUAGUAGCAUAAAGGUACUGCUUGCCUCCUGUAGAACAGCCGCUUCAGAUUUGAUGAAUGCUUGCCUCUACUCGUAUCAGCUGAAAUGUUUCUAAUACAAAGCUCUGACAGUGAGAAAAAAACUGCUUAUACUUUCAGCACAGAGAGAAGCAGCCUGAAGUCAGUAGUCGGAGGAUUUAAGAGUAGCACGUUUCUAUUGUCUGAGAACUCAAUCAAGACCUGCUUCUUGACCAACCAGCUGCAAAAUAUUUACAGUGCAAAGAGAAGAGGCAUGGUAGUCUGUCUUAUGACAGCAAGACUGUGCUUCCAAAAGAAUCCAUUCUUAUGUAAAAUAAUGAAAAAGCUAUCUACCAAGCACUGUCUUCUCACGUGUAUUUUUGUUCAUUGGGCAAACAUUAUAGUCAGAGCUGAAGUUCCACAUCCUUUUUGUCAUAGAAUCAGAGAGUGUCCCCAAGGUUGGAAAAGACCUCUGAGAUCAUCCAACUGUCCACCUGUCACCAAGAGUUCUCAUUAGGCCAUGUCCCUCAGCAUGAUGUCUAAACGUUCCUUGAACACCUCCAAGGUCAGUGAUUCC